rnacentral:rRNA from 1 species
UACGUAGGGGGCAAGCGUUGUCCGGAUUUAUUGGGCGUAAAGCGCGUGUAGGCGGCCAGGUAGGUCGGUUGUGAAAAUUGGAGGCUCAACCUCCAGACGUCGAUCGAAACCAUCUGGCUAGAGUCCGGAAGAGGAGAAUGGAAUUCCUGGUGUAGCGGUGAAAUGCGCAGAUAUCAGGAAGAACACCAAUGGCGAAGGCAGUUCUCUGGGCGUACUGAU